rnacentral:tRNA from 27 species
GCGGGUGUAGCUCAGUGGUAGAGCGUCACGUUGCCAACGUGAAUGUCGUGGGUUCGAACCCCAUCACCCGCUCCA